rnacentral:rRNA from 1 species
GCCCCUAAGCCACACCUCCCAUAGCGGGUUCGGUGCGGCGGACGGACGCCCUGGGGAAUUUAGAGGGGGAAAGCGGAUUGCCCUAGCGGUGUCGUUGGCCCUGCCGACCUCACUGCGAAAGGCGCGACUUCACCGUCGCCACCCAGUAACUUGUCUCUCCGGCGCUUCACGGCGCUGGUGGCCAACCCCGGCACACGAUAGUUACCUGGUUGAUUCUGCCAGUAGUC